CGAAGGGAGACAGACAGUUUUAUUGCAAUAUUUUCGGGUAUGUUAUCUCCCCACAUCGUAAUUCUGGGAUCCCACACUUUCUCUAAGAAUAGCUAUUCAGUGUGGCAUGAAGUACGAUAACCACACGCAUCGUUUAAGAAUACGGCUGUUUACGACGGUAAAAAAACAUCGAGAGUUGGGGAAAUGUAGCAGUAAUUCUAAUACAUGAAAAUGAAUACAGAGAGGAUCUAUAGGGUUACCGACCAAUAAGCAUCUUGUCAGUUAUUAAUACUGUUUACAAGUCAUAAAAAAUGCGUCUCCGAUACACUUGAGGCUAUGGAACAAAUUGACUCUGUAGAUUCUCCAUGACGGGCUACCUCUACACACUAACCAAAUAAAGGCAAAAGCAGUGAAUAUGGGAAGCCUUCCUGUGUUGCAUUCGCCAUUUCCGAAAAAGCGUUCGACUCUCCCCAGACAGCAGUAGUAACAGAGGCAACUCCCGAAAGAGACGCAGAGGACGUUAAAAUAUUGGAAGAUUUUUAUGAAAAUGGAACAACGACCACUAAGCUCCAUGAAGUCCGAACCAAAGAAUGUGAUUCUGAUAUCCUGUUGAUAUUGGAAGAUUCUGAUGCAGAAGUCCUUUCAGAGUAUGAGCAGCUUCAAGAAUUUACCACCCUAAACAAUGAAGACAGUGUGUUGAUGUGGCAGAAGGACGCAUCUUCCCUGUGUGUAUUAAGCAAGUUUGACUGUACUCGGGGGUGGGGGGAGGAUGGUGCCUGCAGAACCUUCAUCCUCAACUGAAGGUCAAGAGGAACCCAGAAGUAACAAAUUUACUGUCAACAGUAUCCAACACAGCAGUAAGAAUACCCUUAGUAAGCAGAGUGCUUGGGCUCCACAGGGAUAGAAAUUACAGGCAAGUAUUCCAAUGUUCAUCAGAUGAAAUUGCAGGAUCACCAGAGCCUGUGUCUACAACUGACUAAUAUAAUUGGUAUAUAUCUGUAAAUAUAUCAGAGGCACAUACUGUAGUGAUACAGAAAAAAAUAUUUUCCUAAGACUGGAACCUCACAAGUAAAUAAAGAUAUCAUGAAUAAAUUUACUUAAACUUAAACUUUUAUUACUCGGCAUCAGCCAGAGAUGUAUGGAGUUUGAGAAAACACACUCUGUUACUGUGGAUGAAGAUGAUCAUCCCCUUUACAGGUCAUACUAUCUUGAAACAGUAUUGUCCACGGAAGCCAGAUCCACAUGGCCUUAAAGUCUCUGUGCUUGCUUCACCAAAAGGCCAUAUCCUUAAUUUUGUGUUUCAUCACGAUGAAGAGCUGCUCAUGAGUUCUGUGGCUAGAAUAAACUUGAUGGUAGGAGGUUUCAACAAUCUGACCAUUGGUGAGGCUGGAGUCCAAGAUUCGUGAACUCUGUACCCAAAGAAAUCUCAUUCUACCUCGACAGGGUCUUCACUACACCUCGCCUUCUUGAGUUUAGGAGUUUGGGGUGGGUGCUACUGGCACACACACAAAAAAAAAUCUGGUGUCUAAACCGAAAAAAUAAGAACAACUAAAGAGCCUCGGUAGAAGCACUUCAGACGGUCUUCUACGGGAUGACAUAGGAUUCAGGACGACUGUGGAGUAAACACUGAUCUUCACUCAUUGGUUCUCCAAGCUGAGCUGCCUCUAAGGAAGGCAGACCCUGGAAUGCCAGGUCACUUAGACAAGAGGCUGGUUGUUUGGUUGUAUGGAUGCUGGGAGUUUCAGGAGGCGAUUUGGUAUUUUGGCCCAUACCUCGAGUUCAAGUAGCCUCCAAGAUCGCCCACGAGUACUGUACCCCUAUCAGUAAACAACUUCUACAGCUACUGUCUCACUACAACCAAACUCUAUUUUGUGGUUUUAUUCCCUUAGAUUUUCCUAUCAUCAUAAGGAAUUAAGGGUUACAUUUUAUCAAUCAAUGCAUCAACUAUAGCAUAACUAAAAUGUCACUGCUUCUGGCCGAUGACACUAAUCGUUAACUCAUUUUUACAAUACUUGUUAUAAUGAUGUGUGACUUUUGAUGUCUAGCACAUUCGUUUGCUUUGACCAUUGACCAUUGCUCUGCUUGAGAUUUGCGAAGUUCUGGCUUCGCCCGGGCCUUUCACUUAUGGCCCGGCCUGUGUCAGCUUUUCAUGGCUGUCUCAUUUGUUUGUCUGACACUCGGUGCUUACCGUGGCGGUGGGACUGCCAGCAGGCGCUCCUGUAGCCGUGGUGUCAGCAUCUCGCAUAAUCUCUUUACGCUGAAAAUCCACAGACAUCUCCUUCUUAAAACUUAUUACCCUGGGGUUUGCCCCAAAGCCCCACUCUAUUGCUAAUUUGUUAUUACGCCGUUAAUGACGCUUAGCUGCU
rnacentral:lncRNA from 1 species